rnacentral:misc_RNA from 1 species
UGUGGGAGCGAGCUUGCUCGCGAUAGCGGUGGGUCAGGCCAUUUAAUUCGACUGAUAGACCGUCAUCGCGAGCAGGCUCGCUCCCACA